AGUUUUCACAGGUAGCGAAUACUUGGAAUUCAGGUUCGUGUUUAGAACAGGACUUCGUGGGUAUGAAUGACUGGUGUCGUAAUCUUCGGUAAUGUUAAUAGACUAUUAAUCCGGCUUGAAUUGCUUUUUGAGUUGAGUUGUUUUCACGGGACUCAGUAACAAAAAAGGUACGCCAGAGGGCGAUUAUAGAAAGCUUGUUUUGUCCGUCACAAUACCACGCAACAAAGCUUUAAUUAUAUUGUUUGUAAGUGAUAGCCAUUUCCUCAUGAAUGUGCUGCAGUUGUGAACAAUACGUGUAUGAAGCUUGAUAAACAAAGUAGAUCUACGUCUAUUUCAAUGACUGGGAAUUCCGACUGAAGUGAAAGUACAUGUAGAAUAUCAGAGGACGCAGACCUCAUCGGCUACCUAUAAACCAGAACCAUAAACAUGUUGUUGCUUCAAAUCAUCGUCUUUUUGUCAAGUUUGAUUUUUUUAAGAACGUCAAGGCUGUAGUGUCAACGACCAUACACCAUCUCCAAAAGAACAAAAAAUGCACGCUAAUCAGAGUUGCCUUGAUCGCACAGAGAAAUGAAGUGGAGGACCCUUUGUUGUGACACACGGUGUCCUUGAUUCGAACACAAUUUAUGCAGUAUGAAAGGAUUCUUGGAUAUUAUUCUAACAAAUUACAUUGGAAUAAAUUACAUUGUAAAACUCCAACAUCACAUACGGAGCCAUAGUUUGAAGAAACAUGAAUCUACGAUAUAUGAAGAUAUUUGCAUAUUGAUCUGACAGUUAUACUCUUGUUGUUUUUGAGGAGACAAUGCUACUAAAGAGUUUUAUUCAU